GUAGGUGAACCUGCGGAGGGAUCAUUACUGAGUGAGGGUUUCGGCCCGACCUCCAACCCCAUGUAUUCCGACUCUGUUGCCUCGGGGGCGACCCUGCCUUCGGGCGUUGGGGCCCCCGGUGGACACCAUAACACUGCAUCUUUGCGUCUGAGUAACACUUUGAAUUAAAUCAAAACUUUCAACAACGGAUCUCUUGGUUCUGGCAUCGAUGAAGAACGCAGCAUCUGACUGACUCAGGUCUGUAUUAUCU
rnacentral:misc_RNA from 1 species